rnacentral:rRNA from 1 species
UCCUACGGGUGGCUGCAGUAGGGAAUAUUGGACAAUGGGCGAAAGCCUGAUCCAGCAACGCCGCGUGCGCGAUGACGGCCUUCGGGUUGUAAAGCGCUUUUAGAGGAGAUGAGAAAGGACAGUAUCCUCUGAAUAAGCCUCGGCGAACUACGUGCCAGCAGCCGCGGUAAAACGUAGGAGGCUAGCGUUAUCCGGAUUUAUUGGGCGUAAAGCGCGUGCAGGCGGUUUGACAAGUUGGAUGUGAAAGCUCCUGGCUUAACUGGGAGAGGUCGUUCAAAACUGUCAGACUAGAGAAUGGGAGAGGGAGGUGGAAUUCCGGGUGUAGUGGUGAAAUGCGUAGAUAUCCGGAGGAACACCAGUGGCGAAAGCGGCCUCCUAGACCAUUUCUGACGCUAAGACGCGAAAGCUAGGGUAGCAAACGGGAUUAGAUACCCGAGUAGUCCA